rnacentral:rRNA from 1 species
UACGGGGGGGGCAAGCGUUGUUCGGAAUUACUGGGCGUAAAGGGCUCGUAGGCGGCCAACUAAGUCCGACGUGAAAUCCCCAGGCUUAACCUGGGAACUGCGUCGGAUACUGGAUGGCUUGAAUUCGGGAGAGGGAUGCAGAAUUCCAGGUGUAGCGGUGAAAUGCGUAGAUAUCUGGAGGAAUACCGGUGGCGAAGGCGGCAUCCUGGACCGACAUUGACGCUGAUGAGCGAAAGCCAGGGUAGCGAACGGG